GAAAAAAGGGUCCAGAAGCAGAGCUUCCUCUUCGCCCUCCCCUCCCGACGGCGUCGCCGAAACCCUCUCCGCCGAACACCCCCGCUGCUCCAGCCCUUCUUCCGCCGAAGCACGGGAACCUCGAAGGAUACGACAUGGCUUCGCAUGCCUACCCUUCCAAGAGACCAUUCCAGAAGAAGUAUUCAGAACACAAUGGUCGGGCCAAGUGGCAAAAGACAAAACAUGCUCCUUCGCAGCAGCCUCAGCUGACAAUACAGCCUGGAGUUCCUCUUAUCCGCAUUCUCUGCCCUACUGAGAAAUGUGGGAAUGUCAUUGGUAAAGGUGGUAGCAUCAUUGCAAAGAUAAGGCAAGAAAACGGAGUGAAAAUCCGGGUUGAUGAAGCAGUCCCUGGUUGCGAUGAGAGAGUUAUUGUCAUAACUACCGCUGAGAAGGACAAAGAAGCUAGCCACGAGCAAGGUAAAGAGAAUGAUGGUGGUACUGCUGUUUCUGCUGAUGGCGAGCAUGAGAAGGAGAAAGACCACAGUAAGGAAGAAAAAGAUGAUUCAGAUAAUGCCCACGGCAAGGAAGAACAAGAUGAUGCAGAGAGAGAUGACAGCAAGGAAGAAAAUGAUGAUUCCUCUGUUGCGAAAACUACAAAGUUGGAGCCAGAGAGGGUAAUACCAUCAGCAAUGAACGCCGUUUUGCAUGUCUUUGAUAGGAUUUUUAUAACUGAAAGUGAAAAUGGAACUGGAGAUGCAUCAGGCCAGAAAACUCCUGUUUCUUUCAGAUUGUUGGUGCUAGAUAGCCAAGUAGGUUCGCUUUUGGGAAUUCGAGGUAGUGUGAUUAAGCAAAUGUCCGCUGAUAGUGGCUGUGAAAUCCGAGUUUCAAAGGAGAAUCUCCCUUUAUGUGCUUUACUCAAAGAUGAACUUUGUCAGAUUAAUGGAGAGCUUGACUCAGUCAGGAAAGGUCUGAAUGCAGUGGCUCAAGUGCUCUUUACUCACCCCCCUAGGGAAAGUGAUGUAGUUCCUGUUGUUCAUCCUUCUGGUUCAUCGUCACGCACCUUCAAUCCCUCAGAUGGUCUUCCUCCAGGAAUGCCACCUAACUUUCAUCUCCCUUUUCAAGGGCCAUCCCAUGCCAGGGGACCUUUUGAUACCAUUGACCAUAGGCCAAAUGUUGCACCUUUCUCAACUUUUCCUGACCAACGCUCAAACAUUCCUCCCUUUUCUGCUUUUCCUGAUGCUCUCAUGCAUGGCAACGCUUCAGUUCCUCCAGAACCUCUCACCUUCAGGCUAUUAUGUUCAAGUGACAAGGUUGGAAGUAUUAUAGGGAAGGGUGGAAACAGUAUCAAGACUAUUCAGAAAGAUACAGGUUGUGAAAUAAAAAUUCUCGAGACUAUUCCAAAGUCAGAUGAUCACAUCAUAAUUAUCUCUGGACCUGCGCAUCCAGGUGAUGGCAUUUCCCCAGCACAGAAUGCAAUUCUGCAUGUGCAGCGUAAAAUUACGCCACCCACCUCUAACAAGGAGGGUCCUGCAAUAUCUAGGCUGAUCGUUUCACCUAACCAAGUUGGCUGCCUCCUUGGCAAAGGUGGCAGUAUCAUAGCUGAAAUGAGGAAGCUGUCAAAAGCUCAUAUAAUAGUGUUGAGCAAAGACAAGAUCCCACGGGGUGUACAAGAAAUUGAUGAAGUUGUUCAGAUAACCGGGGAUUCUGAGGCUAUUCAGGAAGCUCUGAUGCAGAUAACUGCUAGGCUACGUAACAAUCUUUUCCGGGACAGAAUGGCUUCAAUGGGUCCCAGUAUGCAGCCACCUUUUGGUUUGCUGGAUCCUCAGUUUGGUGCAUUUCCGGGAAGCCAUGAAUCUACAUCUCCUAGGAUUUAUCCUAAUGCAUCUCAGUUUCAUAAAGAUUUCAUGGGACGACCAUUGGAUGAGAUGUCUGCUCCUUGGACCACAAAGGGCAUGCAGGAUGUUGGUGAUCCGAUGUCAAUAUCUGGCAUUCCUGGAAUGGCGCACAGAGGAAUGGGUGGAUUUUCUGGUCCUGUUCAUUCAUCUAGGCCAAUCAUAACUGGAAAUAUCAUGGUUCCAAGAUUAGUUAUACCUGCUCUAUGUGGGCAUGAUGGAGGUUGUUUGAAUAUGAUUCGCGAGUUUUCAGGGGCUAAGAUAACAAUCGAUGAACCGCUAGCUGAUUCCAUGGAUACGCCUGUUAUGAUAUCUGGCACACCGGAUCAGAUGCAUGCAGCCCGAAGUCUUGUUCAAGCAUUUGUUCUAAGUGAACCACCUGCCCCAUGAGAUUUCAUAUCUCUGAAGGUGAUGCAUCCCCUUCUAAUAUUUUGAUCCUUCUGGGGAGAUCAUAGGCCCAGGUGAUGCUGUUUGCGUGCUGGGCAAUGAAGCUAGUAACCUUAUGUGUGUUUGAAUUUUUCAUCACUCUGUCUGCAGAGUUGCAUGCGUGAAUGGAUAAUUAUGCUGAACAAAGACUAAAAUUCCAGUGGUGGAACUUCUCUAGGAUCGUUUUAUAAUCUCCCAAAGUUGUGGCACCAGAUAUGGAAAGCAUUAUAGCUGCCUGAAUCUAUCAUUUUAUGCAAGCCGUAGCUUGGGGUUGGAAAGUUUCUAACCUUUUUGUAUGAGAACCCCAUCAUUCGAUGUUGUGAACUUCUAUGAAGGGAAAUAACCUAUUAGUGAUCGUUAUGAAUUUUGGUCUGACAUCUGCAUUAUUAAAGACUGACAUGACCACUAUUCGCUGGACCAAUACCCUAAUACCUAGUAUCAAAUACUGGAAUAGUACCUACACAUAUCAAAUCGUUCCCUAGCGUCCUGUAUUAAUUACUCUUAGCAAAUUCAGGUAGAACAACUAUCCCAGAGGCCUUUGCAGUGACAUAUUUGCAGUAGACAUCAUAAGCUAUAGCAGCAGCAGCUUGAUAUAUUGCACUUGUUGGACCAAAGGGCAGUUGAGUAGUUGCUGGUAGCAUUAUUUUUUUGCCCUAACAUACUGCAUACAACACUGCUCUAAUGAUGGCAAACCUUGCUUGGAUUAAUAUGAUCAAGUCAAUCAUUUAAAUCUUAGGAAUGCAUGUCUUGCUGGUUAUAUGUUGUAUUUUUCUAUAUUAUUUGUGAGGACAUACAUUUUUAUGUAUAUCUGCGAAGUUCGUUAUGUAUCGCGACAUACGGAUAUUACUAGUUCACAUAGUUACCUGCAUUACAAACAUUAUUGGUCUCAU
rnacentral:rRNA from 1 species